GCAUACUAAAUGUGAUCACGACUCCGACCGCAUGGAAUAGUGACUUUGAUUUUUGGAACUCUCGUGACGUACCUUAUUAUAAUACUAUCGUUGUGAAACUGCAGCUCCUGCACUAGUGUUGAAGAACAAAAUAUCUUUCCUGUCAACAUAACAAAAAAAAAAAAAACAAAAAAAAAAUACUCGGUUCUGCUUAUUACAAGUUUUGAAGACUAUUCACUUAUCACAUCACGUUUGAAUUGUAACACUUACAUCUCUUUAAUAAUAAAUGAUUUUGUGUGA